UUGACGUGACGAGAAAAGACAGAUAGCCAGAGAGAGAAAAAGAUCUGGUCAUGUAAUGUUAAGAUCUUCGCAUUUUUAAAUAUAUAUAUAUAUUUUUACAAUAUUAGCCUAACUUGUAGCUAUUUUUACAUUUUCACUGAUUUCAUCCAUAGAGAUCUGCACAUUGCUUCCACGCGGAACCUGCUGAUACUGGCUCUGUCUUUCUUCCUCGUCAUGGUGCUGUUGGUAUCCGCAGGCUGCAAUCAAGGAUUCAGCAUGAAGAAAAAACAAUGCAUAGCUCUGUCUUUCUUCCUCAUCAUGGUGCUGUCGGUAUCAGCAGACUGCCCUCAAGGAUUUCAUCUGAAGAAAGGAAAAUGUAUAGAUAUAAACGAAUGUGAAGAGGAUGUGCCGCGAUGUGGAGAAAAUGCAAUCUGCACAAACACAAAUGGAAGCUACUACUGCCAAUGUAAAGGUGGUUUCAGAAGCUCAACAGGGAAGGUGAAUUUUACAGCUGGUGGAUGCAAAGAUAUCCAAGAAUGUUUGGAAAACAAAGACAUCUGUGGACCUAACGCCAAAUGUGAGAAUGCAAUCCCCUAUUACUCGUGCACCUGUGAUAAGGGAUUCAUUUCUACUACUGGGAAUAAAACCUUUCGUCAUGAUCAAAAUGCUACAUGUGAAGAUAUUAACGAAUGUCAAAAAGGAAAUCCCUGUGGUCGAAAUGCAUUAUGUAACAACACACAAGGCAGUUAUUACUGCGUCUGCAACGCUGGCUUUGGAUUGAAAUCUGGCCGAUUAAACUUCUCUGGGAAUCUGGAGCAAUGUGAAGACAUAUGUAUAACUGAUAAGACAAUCUGUGGAAGUGGAACUUGCCAUCAUGGAGCCAGUGGCCAUUACUGUGUGUGCCAAACUGGAUUCACUAACUAUGGCAACAACAUGUCACGCUGCACUGAAUUAAACUGUGAUGUUUUCAAAGAUAUAAAUGAUGCAAAAGAGAGAUUUCACAUUGUAGAUGGCUUAGUGAAUUACAUGGAAAAAACCUGUCAGGAACUUACAAACAACAAAAGACCAGUACACCUGAAUGGAGAGGAGACUCUAAAGAGAUUCCUGAAUAUGACUGAUGAGCUCUUGUCCAGUGCAUUUCUUAAUUAUAAAAGGAAAGUUUCAGACUUUCUUGACUUGGUGGGAAAUGCUCUGAGGCUCAUAGGACCCUUGACUAAUUCUUCAAGGAUUUAUAUCUCCUCCACUCACACAGAGCUGGACAUGCUUGUACACAAGGGGCCUGUUAUACCUAAAGGAAACAUAACAUUAUCAACUAAUCAUGCUAGCUUGGACAUCCAGAUGGAGAUAGCUGCUGGAGAUCCUGCCUAUUACCCUGGCUUUACAACAGUGUCCUUGAUGAGCUACUCAAACCUGGAAAACUCUACAGAUGGCUUCUUUAAUGGAAUGAAACCACAAAAGAACCAGAGCUUUAAGAUAAACUCCAAAGUGGCGACUGUCACUGUCAGCAACAGAAAUACAAGCCACCUCAAAACACCAGUUAACCUAACUUUGUACCACCUAGAAGAACAGGCAAAUCAAACAUUCCACAUCUGUGUGUUCUGGGAUUCCUCGUUGAACGGAGGAUCAUGGUCUGAUCGUGGUUGCAGUGUGGCGGAGUCAAGCCUGGAAUAUACUUCCUGUUCCUGUAACCACCUGGGAACCUUUGUUAUACUCACGGCUCACAAUGAAAUUGAGGAGAAGUUUGAGUUUCAUCUGAUCAUAUGGGUGUUCCUGUCCCUUUCACUGAUUUGCUUAUUCAUCUCCAUCUUGACAUUCUCAAUGAUCCAGUCUAUUAAAAGUCCAAGAACCACCAUCCACCUGAAUCUCUGCAUCAGCCUCUUCAUUGCAAACCUUGUCUUUCUAGCAGGAAUCUCUCAUAUUGAGAACCAGGAUGGCUGCACAGUGGUAACAGGGAUCCUGCAUUUCUCCUAUCUGGCCACAUUUUUAUGGAUGUGUCUGGACAGUGUACAGCUGUUCAGGAUGAUAAUGCUUGUUUUGAACACCAACUUUAAAACCCUCCACAUGAUGGCAGUUGCCUGUGGAGUUCCAGCUGUUAUUGUUGCCAUCUCUGCCUUAGCUAAUUCCAAGGGACAUGGCACUGACAGAUACUGUUGGGUAACCCAGGGAUUUAUUUGGAAUUACUUUGGCCCUGCAUGUGUAAUCAUCAUUGUAAACAUUUUCUUCUUUUUCAUAACUGUAUGGAAGUUAGCACAGAAGUUCUCAAGUGUAAACCCUGACCUGGAUGAUCUGCACAAAAUUGAUUUCAGGAAAACCAUACAGCCAUGGCUUACCUCACCAUCUUUGGCAGCCUGGAAGGAGUUACGCUCUUUACCGUGUAUUGUCUGUUUUCCAGGCAGGUGAGGGAAGAGUACAAACACGCCUUGACCAGAAUUUGUGCUCCUCGGAAGAAGAGUGACAGAAAAGCUCGUGUUUCGAAGAGGGCCCAGGAUACAGGAGAGUGUCAACUUUGAGGAGCUAGACAGUAAUAUAUAUAUAUGGGUGUGCAUAUAUAUUUAUAUCACCUGCCAGCUAAAAACUGCUGACAUGUAUAUUUCAAUUUUUGUACUGGAUAAAUAUCUCUUAAGCAAUCUUAUAAACGUGGAGGGAUGAGGACUUUGUGUACUUGUUGAUUUCUGUAGAAUUCCCCCAGUCAUUUCUGAAGCGGAAAUUGAGUAAAUUGAAAUAUAACCACUACAUGAUGCUAGCACACCAGAAAAGAAGGCUGAUGGUGUUGCUGAUAAGACUACUAACAGUAACUUCACUCAGGAAACACAUCUGGUGUCCUGUGUUUGAAAUAUUAUAAACAGUGAAGGUUGAACAGGUUGAACAGGUUCGUUUUUUUUUUCUUUUCUGUAAUACAGUUGCAAAGAGCAUUUAUAAUGUACAAAUUAAGAAAUAUAAAAAAUGUAGUAUCCUCAUUUUGAAUGAGUGCUUCUAUGAUUUGUUUAUAUUAUAUUUUCACACCAAUAUAUAAUUUAUGUAAUAUCUAUCUAUAGCUAUAGAUGCCAAUAUAUAGACAUGUAUAAUCUGUAACAUGAUUUUAUGAAAUAAUAUUGAAUAAAUGAAAU